rnacentral:rRNA from 1 species
UACGUAGGGGGGCUAGCGUUGUCCGGAAUCAUUGGGCGUAAAGAGCGUGUAGGCGGCCCGGUAAGUCCGCUGUGAAAGUCGGGGGGCUCAACCCUCGAAUGCCGGUGGAUACUGUCGGGCUAGAGUGCGGAAGAGGCGAGUGGAAUUCCUGGUGUAGCGGUGAAAUGCGCAGAUAUCAGGAGGAACACCAAUAGCGAAGGCAGCUCGCUGGGACGGUACUGACGCUAAGGCGCGAAAGCGUGGGGAGCAAACAGG